rnacentral:rRNA from 1 species
UACGAAGGGUGCAAGCGUUACUCGGAAUUACUGGGCGUAAAGCGUGCGUAGGUGGUUCGUUAAGUCUGUCGUGAAAGCCCCCGAGCUCAACUUGGGAAUGGCAUUGGAAACUGGCUGGCUAGAGUGUGGCAGAGGGGGGUGGAAUUCCGCGUGUAGCAGUGAAAUGCGUAGAGAUGCGGAGGAACACCGAUGGCGAAGGCAGCCCCCUGGGCUGACACUGACGCUCAGGCACCGAAAGCGUGGGGAGCAAACAGG